UCCAAAGAAGAGUGGGAAGAACAGAGUAAGAUAUGGCCAACUUCAUUUCACCCUCCAACCUACAAUAUAGAUGGCAUCGGUGGGUUCAGCGAGGAGGAUACACAAUCGAUCUGCAAGUUCAUGAGAGUUGUUAUUGAUAUGGCAGUAUCUGGUCAUAAACCACUUGUAAAUGCUGCAGUGAUAGUCGAUCCCUCAG